rnacentral:rRNA from 1 species
AUUGAACGCUGGCGGCAGGCCUAACACAUGCAAGUCGAGCGGAGCGGCGGACGGGUGAGUAAUGCCUAGGAAUCUGCCUGGUAGUGGGGGAUAACGUCCGGAAACGGGCGCUAAUACCGCAUACUAUCAGAUGAGCAUAGGUCGGAUUAGCUAGUUGGUGGGGUAAAGGCCUACCAAGGCGACGAUCCGUAACUGGUAUGAGAGGAUGAUCAGGCACGCAGAGACUGAGACACGGUCCAGGCUGCUACGGGAUGCAGCAGUGGGGGAGAUGGCACAAUGGGCGAAAGCCUGAUGCAGCGAUGCCUCGGGGGGGAUGAAGGCUUUCGGGUUGUAAACCUCUUUCGCUAUCGAACGGGUAGGUGGAGAAGAAGCGCCGGCUAACUACGUGCCAGCAGCCGCGGUAAUUC